rnacentral:rRNA from 1 species
ACAUUGCGGCCCUGGGAUUUCUCCCAGGGCUACGCCUGUCCGAGGGUCGAAUAUGACCGAUUUCUCACGAGCGUUCCAGCCCGGGAAACGCAAAGUUCGUGACGCGGGGGUACGUUGACAGAGCAGGCUGUGAACGGCAGGGUGUGCUUGCGCACCCUCCCCUCAGAUACGCAAAAUAACCGACGCGAGAAACGGCACGUCUCGCGCCCUUCGGCCAGUUAGGGAACGGGUCGGAAAUUCGGGCGCAGUUGAGGACGUAGGCGUCUCGCUGAUUGAAACGCGACCUCGGAUCAGGCGAGACUACCCGCUGAAUUUAAGCAUAUUACU